UGUAGUUUGGUGUUUUAGCAUUUUAUGUUUUGGUCAUAACGGGGAUUUGUUGUUAGCUACAG
rnacentral:tRNA from 1 species